rfam:Microdochium bolleyi strain J235TASD1 unplaced genomic scaffold Micbo1qcscaffold_7, whole genome shotgun sequence.
GGCCUUGUGGCGCAACGGUAGCGCGUCUGACUCCAGUUUAUCUUGGAUCAAAUCACCGAUCAACGGUGAUCUUGGGCGAUUUCCACGAGGAAAUAAUAUCAGAAGGUUAUCCGUUCAAAUCGGGUCAGGGUCA